UGGGGAAUAUUGCACAAUGGGCGCAAGCCUGAUGCAGCCAUGCCGCGUGUGUGAAGAAGGCCUUCGGGUUGUAAAGCACUUUCAGCGAGGAGGAAGGGUGGUGUGUUAAUAGCACAUUGCAUUGACGUUACUCGCAGAAGAAGCACCGGCUAACUCCGUGCCAGCAGCCGCGGUAAUACGGAGGGUGCAAGCGUUAAUCGGAAUUACUGGGCGUAAAGCGCACGCAGUCGGUUUGUUAAGUCAGAUGUGAAAUCCCCGCGCUUAACGUGGGAACUGCAUUUGAAACUGGCAAGCUAGAGUCUUGUAGAGGGGGGUAGAAUUCCAGGUGUAGCGGUGAAAUGCGUAGAGAUCUGGAGGAAUACCGGUGGCGAAGGCGG
rnacentral:rRNA from 1 species